rnacentral:rRNA from 1 species
UACGUAGGGUGCGAGCGUUGUCCGGAAUUAUUGGGCGUAAAGAGCUCGUAGGCGGUCUGUCGCGUCGGAUGUGAAAGCCCGGGGCUUAACUCCGGGUCUGCAUUCGAUACGGGCAGACUAGAGUGUGGUAGGGGAGAUCGGAAUUCCUGGUGUAGCGGUGGAAUGCGCAGAUAUCAGGAGGAACACCGAUGGCGAAGGCAGUUCUCUGGGCCGUAACUGACGCUGAGGAGCGAAAGCGUGGGGAGCGAACAGG